rnacentral:rRNA from 1 species
CUACGGGCGGCUGCAGUGAGGAAUAUUGCGCAAUGGGGGAAACCCUGACGCAGCGACGCCGCGUGGAUGAUGAAGGCCUUCGGGUCGUAAAAUCCUGUCAGAAGGAAAGAAGUGUAUGGUAGCUAAUAUCUGCCAUACUUGACGGUACCUUCAAAGGAAGCACCGGCUAACUCCGUGCCAGCAGCCGCGGUAAUACGGAGGGUGCAAGCGUUGUUCGGAAUUACUGGGCGUAAAGCGCGCGUAGGCGGGUUUAUAAGUCAGAUGUGAAAGUCCACGGCUCAACCCUGGAAGUGCAUUUGAAACUGUAAGACUUGAGUAUUGGAGGGGGGAGUGGAAUUCCCGGUGUAGAGGUGAAAUUCGUAGAUAUCGGGAGGAAUACGGGUGGCGAAGGCGACUAUCUGGACAAAUACUGACGCUGAGGUGCGAAAGCGUGGGGAGCAAACAGGAUUAGAUACCCCAGUAGUC